GACGAACGCUGGCGGCGUGCUUAACACAUGCAAGUCGAACGGAAAGGCCCUGCUUUUGUGGGGUGCUCGAGUGGCGAACGGGUGAGUAACACGUGAGUAACCUGCCCUUGACUUUGGGAUAACUUCAGGAAACUGGGGCUAAUACCGGAUAGGAGCUCCUGCUGCAUGGUGGGGGUUGGAAAGUUUCGGCGGUUGGGGAUGGACUCGCGGCUUAUCAGCUUGCUGGUGGGGUAGUGGCUUACCAAGGCUUUGACGGGUAGCCGGCCUGAGAGGGUGACCGGCCACAAUGGGACUGAGGCACGGGCCAAACUCCGACGGGAGGCACAAGGGGGGAAACUUGAACAAAGGGCGGAAGCCUGAUGCCACAAAGCCGCGAACGGGAAGACGGACUUCGGGUUGUAAACCGCUUUCGCCUGUGACGAAGCGUGAGUGACGGUAAUGGGUAAAGAAGCACCGGCUAACUACGUG
rnacentral:rRNA from 1 species